CUCAAGUCAUUAUUUAUUUAUCAUUUAAACAACUUUAUACAUAAAAAGUAAAACUAAUUUGCUAGAUUAUUUUAACUUUUUGGUGAAAUUUUAAAAAAUAUUUUCACUUUAUAACAAUUAAAGAAAGUAAAACUAUUUCUGUCUUCCCUAAAAUUACAUUUUAAAACGUUUAUUUAAACAAUAAUUUAUUCAUUAUUUAUUUGUAAAAAUAAUUUGCACAAAUUAUUUAAACAAUAUAAAUAUAACAAUACAAAAAAUGAAAUAAAAUAAAGAAAAUAUAUAUACUUUGCAAUCUUCAACGAACUUUAAUGCUAGACUUCCUGUUAGAUCUUGACACCUUUGACUAUUUAUUGUUGGGCUGCAAAAAACAAUUGUGCCGGAUUGGAUUGGGCAAAAAACUCGCAAUGGGCUAGGGCUUAAACAGCCCAGUACUUCAUUUUCUUUGUUUUUUUUUUUUUUUCUUUUCUCCUUCUUUCCUUCUUCCCUUCUCUCUUUACCACCCAUUCCCUCUCCAGUAAUUUCCAACACCACCUCUGGCCAGAUUUCGAAGAUCGAUUGCCCCGCCAACCACCAUUCGACAACCGACUCUUUUUUUCUUUUUCUUUUUCUUCUUUCUCGCCCUUCCCUCUUCUCUGUCUACCAUCCUGUCUUCCUAUAGCAACUUCUGACGCCAUUUCUAGCCAAAUCCGAAACCUCCCUCUCAGCCUUUUCUAAGUUUUCACCAUUGGUAUUUCUUAAAAGCUUAUAGCCCACCAAAAAACCACCUUGCCGCUGUUCGAUUGGCCUGAAAAUUUUGCAUGUUGAUCCUCUCUCCAUACUCUACCUUUCCACCAUUGGGAUUUUCGAAAGCGUUUGCCGCCGAUGUCGAUCUCCGCUGUUGCCGCCACCGAUUGUGGUUUUCUUACACUUUUUUUCUUGUUGCUAUGGUGGUAUUGUAUAAUUUUGUUGUUUAAGAUAGAUGUUAUCUAGUGGUUGAAUCUGGGUUUUUUUUUUGUUUUUUUUUGGGGUGGGGGGAUGGUUAUUGAUGAGGAUGGUGUAGGCAGAGGUUGCUUUGGAUUUUUUUUUUUCGACUUUUUUGUCCCUUUUUUGUUGGGAUUUCUCUUCGUGAAUUUCUCCCUUUACUGCCUUUCAAAGGCUCAAAUUGUAAAGUCAAUUAAGGUUCAAAUCACAGAUUUUUGGGAUUGCCAGUGACUUUUGAGGUGCUAUCGAAUAAUUUUUACACCAAUAUUUCUGUUGCAUGGUUAGGCAGGUGGCAGCGCAUUGAAUGCACGAAGACCCAUAAAAUUGACAUAAAGUAGAUUUGAUUAAAAGUUAACAUAAAAUUAAUGUAGAGUUUCAUCAAAAC
rnacentral:lncRNA from 1 species